CUCUCUGUCUUCGUUGUUGUUAACGGGGAAACUUGCCGCCCGGUGGCUUUGCUUCAGGCGGAAGUCCGCGUGCUUUGAUACCCUCAGGGGGCACUUACAGGCUAGGUGGACACAGGGCUAGGGGUAAGAAUGCAGCAGUGAACAUGGUUCCUGCACUCAUGAAGCAAAUGUAUCCACUGUGGUACAAAAGAGACUGUAAAAAACAAACCCAAAUGGACAACAGGAAAAGACAGAAGCUGAUUGAGGUCCCAGCUUGGUAACAGUUUGAAGAGUUGCAGGACUGGCUGGAUGAGUACUGGCUGCAGCAAAUCAGGCUGCCAGGAUUCUUUAUGGCUGUUUCUGCUUCCACUACAGCUGAGUCAGAAAGGUCGCUGCCCCGUGGUGGCACUAGACGCAGUGGACCUGGCAAGCAAAUGUUUCCGCUAUUAGCUCUCAGCAACAGAGACUCAUUUAUGGUCACCUUGGAAAUCUGGGCUUAUCGAUCUACAGCCCAAGUCUGCUGAGAAGCUGGAGCUUACUAAAGGGGAAACCUGAGAGCUGUUCAAGCCCCAAAUAUUUUCCACUUCUGCGUCACCUCUGCUGUCUGUUAGCAGAGUGGAGGAGAAAAUACACAGCACAAACAACGUGAAAAAAUAGUUACUCUAUUCAUUAAAAGCUGUAACUUCCAGAUUGGACUUGAGAAGCAAUUAAGCAACAGAGGAACCUCAUCUACUAUCUGUAUUCAGGCAUGCUCAUGAGAACACGCUGCUCCAGCUGGACUUAGAGGAACCCGGUGCAUCACAGGCAUUCCUGACAGAGUCUCGUGGUCCUGCUGGUCCACUCAGUGGUACUCAGUCCUCCUCAUUCUCGGGGAUAGGUUCCAAGACCCCCAGGGGA
rnacentral:lncRNA from 1 species